AAUACUAUAUUUGACAAGCUCUUGGUGGAUUUUGUGCUGCUGAAGAAUUUGUAGUCCGCAGCAGCUAGUGGGAGGCGCCUAUUCUCUUUCGUCCACCACGCUGUCCAGCGAAGCCCAACCCCCAUUAUGUCUCGCUGCUUUGUGUGGUUCUGAUGGCAAGAAGAGGGAACGCGCGGGGUUGUAGUACAGCUAGAGAACCACCGCGAACCACUAGAGACAGUGUUGUUGUGGUUUCUUGUUUUCGUUAUAACGUUACUUUUCUGUCACCCUCAUCUGAUAUUGGACUAAGUUAACGUUGCUUCGGUAACAUACUGCAACAAGCAUCUCAGGUGUACUGGACAAAACCCGGUCAAGCUCUGGAGUAUUAGAAGAACGAAUGCUGAUUUGAGUUGCCGCUGGAAAACUCGUCGGUUCUGGAAUCCUGCUUGUUUGAUCCAUGAACAGCACAUCUGUAAGCAUCCUAACACUCAGGU